rfam:Enterobius vermicularis genome assembly, scaffold: EVEC_scaffold0005019
CCAACGGCCCUCUUUAGGGCCACAAGUUUCUAAGUCGAAUGAUC